UACAGAGGGGGCGAGCGUUAUUCGGAAUUACUGGGCGUAAAGCGCGCGCAGGCGGCUUCUUAAGUCUAUGGGUGAAAGACCGGGGCUCAACCCCGUGUCAGCCCGGGAUACUGGGGAGCUAGGGACAUGUAGGGGCGAGCGGAAUUCCGGGUGUAGCGGUGGAAUGCGUAGAGAUCCGGAAGAACACCGGGGGCGAAGGCGGCUCGCUGGGCAUGGUCCGACGCUGAGGCGCGAAAGCGUGGGGAGCGAACAGG
rnacentral:rRNA from 1 species